rnacentral:rRNA from 1 species
AUUGAACGCUGGCGGCAUGCCUUACACAUGCAAGUCGAACGGCAGCACGGGUGCUUGCACCUGGUGGCGAGUGGCGAACGGGUGAGUAAUAUAUCGGAACGUACCUUAUUGUGGGGGAUAACGCAGCGAAAGCUGUGCUAAUACCGCAUAAUCCCUAAGGGGGAAAGCGGGGGACCGUAAGGCCUCGCGCAAUUAGAGCGGCCGAUACCUGAUUAGCUAGUUGGUGAGGUAAAGGCUCACCAAGGCAACGAUCAGUAGCUGGUCUGAGAGGACGAUCAGCCACACUGGGACUGAGACACGGCCCAGACUCCUACGGGAGGCAGCAGUGGGGAAUUUUGGACAAUGGGGGCAACCCUGAUCCAGCAAUGCCGCGUGAGUGAAGAAGGCCUUCGGGUUGUAAAGCUCUUUUGUCAGGGAAGAAACAGCAGCUCUAACACAGUAUGCGAAUGACGGUACCUGAAGAAUAAGCACCGGCUAACUACGUGCCAGCCGCCGCCGUAAUAC